CACGUAGGGUGCGAGCGUUGUCCGGAAUUAUUGGGCGUAAAGAGCUCGUAGGUGGUUUGUCACGUUGUUCGUGAAAACCCACAGCUCAACUGUGGGCGUGCGAGCGAUACGGGCAGACUAGAGUACUGCAGGGGAGACUGGAAUUCCUGGUGUAGCGGUGGAAUGCGUAGAUAUCGGGAGGAACACCAGUGGCGAAGGCGGCUACCUGGCACAUAACUGACGCUGAUACGCGAAAGCGUGGGGAGCGAACCGG
rnacentral:rRNA from 1 species